AUAUCGCCCGCCUGAAAUCCCGCAUCGUCCGAGAAAAGAGCGAAUAGAAAAAGAAAACCAACUACCUUCCUUGUCAACCGCUGCCCACGGCUCCACCAUCUCCCCCAGCUUGCCGCACAACAAUCCUCCACUCUGCAUCCCCAUACCUCGCGCUGCGACGUUUCCCCUAUCCUCCGUCGCACAUAUCCGCGCUGGAACCCUCUUGUGCGAUUCUGCCCUUGAUCUCCACAAUCAGAACCAUUCCUCGAUCGAGAGAGCUGCGGCGGAGCGGGAGGUGCUUUGAGUAGUAUGCCUGGGGGCGUGUGUGAUUCCUGUCGGAGAGGGUCCAGUGCCACGGAUGGCCAACAAAUCCGCCCUCUCGAUGCCAUCCAUGGGGAAAUGGAUGGGAUCUGCGGACACAGGAUGUCGGUGACGAUGCCACUGUUGACGGAGGGGAUUCACUGCUGUGCUGCAGGUGUUGGCGCGGUGAAUCAGAGCGUGGGCGGGCAUGACAUCGACAGGGACGUACACCCUCCCCAAUGCGUGAGCGGCACCCACACAGCUCGCACCAUGGACCGCUAACAUAGAGACUGCCAGACAUCACUGGCUGCAAGGCAAGUCGGGGCAUGUUCCAAUGGCUGGCGAUGAGACAAGCUCACAAGUUUGGUUACCAAUUUCUCUAUUCAAUUAUUGCUGGUCAGUAUAAUGCAGUCCCUACUAGCAAGCCAAUAUGUGGAAGGGAACCACGAGCAAGCCUACAUGCUUUUAUAUAGUGUUCUGCAGAUUGGAGGUGUGAUUCGUCCAGCAGUUUCGUGUGAGAGCAAGUCAUGUGCAGAGGGGAUAAAUAGAGCAAUAAGUUUUCCUACUGGAUCAGGAAACAUGUGAUAGGUCUGGUGUGGUUGCUAGGGUGAUAAUAAUGCCACGGAUGUGUGAACUUAUAUGGUUUCAAAAUCUUCUUCACCAUUGUCUUUAUGUUACAUCUCAUGUCUUCACGUUUAGGAUUUCUGCAGGUUUAGGUUUUUCAUUAAUUAUUUGCCGAUUCAUAACAGUGGCUUCCUCAUUCUCUUGUCUCGGCAAGACAUUUGUCCUUUCAUGCAUGUACCUUUUUAAGUACAUUGUCUACCCGGUCUUGAUGUUUCUUUCCUUUUGUAGAGAUAUAAGGAUUUUGUGUGUUGCAAAUAAAUACAGUCUCAGGCUUAGCUUAACCUUCAUUUUCUUUUAUUUUUAUAUAAGUUUACUAGCAUUAUUACUGAGUAUUUAGGUCCAUGCUGCCUUUUGGGCAUGUUCAAUUGUUUGUACUAUGUAGCAUUAGCUUAAUAUAUUUCAUAUUAUAUCACCAAACAUAUUGGAUUUGAUACUGCAUUAAUAUUUGGAAUUAUUGGUUGAGAAACACUAGAUUACCUGAGCUGCUGCAUAUUUUUGUUAAUUUGCCGAUGUAAGUAUCGUGGGGCUGUAAUUGUUGAUUGGUUUUAGAUAUGCACAUUUCUAUUUGCAGGUUAUCCCAUUCAUGUUUCUUUACACAAAACUUAACUUGCUUUAUUCCUUGUCAGUUAAUGCUUUAUAUGGAUACUAAAAGAAAAGGCUAGAUCUUUUCCUAAAACAAGAAGCACCAAUUAAAAGAGAGAAUGUUUAGACCUAGCAUUAUAUGUAGAUAUAACUGUGGACAAAGCGAAUUGCUAAAACAAAUUGCUAUCUCCCUAGGCGCUCUAUUUGUGAAUUUGUUUUCUGCUAGGUUAUCAUACCAGUUGUUGCGCACGGAAGCUUCAAGCCAUGGAUCAAGUUGUGCAAGCCACCCGCGUUCGGUGGCAUGCUGCCCAAGUCGGCGGCAGCCAAGGGAAUUUCUUCAUGGUAUGCUGAUUCACUUCAAGUAGGUGUUGGGUCAUGACAGCCGAGGAUGUGGAUUAGGACGCAAGUUCGAUGGUGCUCCGGACUAGCACGCACUGUGUUCAAAGGAGUGACUGUCUUGGAUGUAGUUUCUUACAAGGAACAAGGUACCACCGUGAAAGGGAUGGGAGCUGACCACCUAUACUGCCUAACAUUGACAACAAGGCUGAUCUACACAGCACCCUGGACAUCCACAAGUGUUGUUGCACAACUAUUAUAUGUACUGAAUCUGGUUGACGAGAUUGCCAACUGGCUAGAAGCAGUUUUAUUCAUUCUCAUAGCACAUGAUAUAUUUGCUGGAGAGAGCUGCCAGAGAGAAUGGGGAUCGGGGUAGAACCAUCUGGUGCCGCAGCACCUGCAGUUGAACUUUCUCCAUUGCAUCCAUCUGAAACUCUCUUGAGACAAAUCAAUUACAAAAUACCAAGAAUAUGUUCUCUGUUGCGAUACGGUGGGGAUGCUAGCCAAGACAUGAGAACGAUGAUGCACAUAUCAUGCUAUGUCGUGCGUUGAUGGGUCGGCCAGAGGCUAUCCUUGCCAGGUCCUCCGAGUUCUACCACAAUAGUAACAACUACAACAGCGCUCUCGACAACAUGCAGAAUUCACAGCAGUACAUUUUGUGGAGCACCAACAUGAACACAAGAGUCCUACCAGAGUACUUCAUCAGCAUCAAGUUCCCAGAGUGCGCAACACCUGCAAGGAUCAUUGGGAGCUUUCCAAUCCUUGGAGACGUGAUUCAGUGGUUCGUUGCGAUUAGCCAAGCUAUAGAUAUUGCAGGGAACUUGCAAUCGAUUCAAGAUAAAUUUAUGUUCUUUGCCUGAUCGUCACAUCUGCUGCAUUUGACUAAUGUAAUUGUGCGGUCCCUACCAUGCAGCCAUACGGAACAUCCUCGCCACCAGCGCCUCCCCUCUCUCUCUCCUCUCUUAUCCAGUUGAGAGUCCUCCACCUCCCCCCGGCUCCUCUCUCUCCCCUCUCCGGCGGCUUGGCCGGCCGGAGUAGGCGGGAGAGAGGAGGCCGGCCUGUAUAUAGUCGGUGUAGGUUUUUAGUUGUAGUGUUUGGGCUUCGUCCCAGUUUGGCGACAUGCCGGUGGAGGCUUUGUCGGCCAUGGCGCGCGGGCGGCGCAUGGCGGCAGGAAGAGAAGCUGUUCCGGCUCGUGGAGCUUCAGAGGAUGGAGCAGGCGAGCAGGGGAGCAAAUCUUCCCUCCACAAGAGUCAAUAAGGCCCAGGUUUGUGUCAAGCUCGAGAUCUGGCUGCCUGUUUCUCCCCCUUCUCUGGCCGGCCGCGGUGGCGAGGGGAAAAGGGGUGUUGAUGCAGAUCCAGAUGCUCAAGCUUGGUGGCACAUGGGUGAGCGUGCGGUGCUCACUGAGUUGGAAGCUUUCUAUUGGCGGCAGAUAUCAAGCGCCGGCGACGUCCGCCGCCGCUAUUCUUGGCCAAGGGGGCCUCUCCGCACCUCGGAAGAGCCAGCUCCGGGGACCAUCUACUUCCCCCAGGCCGAUGUGCUGGGGGGGAAGAUCUUUGAUCUGGGCGUGGUAAUCCAUCCUGGUGGUGAACCAAGUGGCGAAGUCCCCGGCGUCGCCGCCAGAGACCACGCCCCAAGAUCCUGUCGACGUGGUGGAGAAGAAGGACCUGAUUGCUUUCUUUUUAAUCUUUUUGGGUUCCUUUUUGUAAAAUCUUCGGACUCUUGUGCUAAUGUUCCAAAAGCCAAGGUCCUCCUUGUAAUUGUUCCCACCGACUAAUGAAGCUUCCAGGCCUUUGUGGCCUUAUCUGUUCAAAAAAAAAAAAAAAAUACCAUGCAGCCAUACAAUAAGGAAGAAAAUAAAGUGCAUUACCUAGAAUUUCCCAACUUUGGUAGACGUGAAUUUCUAGGAUC